UGAGGUAGAGGUUGCAGACAUGAUCAGUAAUCGCGUCGAGGCGAAGAGGAGCCGGGGAAGCGCAGAUGAAAGGCAUGGCUGCCGAAGUGCAGGAUAUACUCUUGUAUUCUGUGCUGGGGUCGUUGCCGAAAGGGACGGAACUGUCACGGGAAUUGCAUGACGCAAUCGCCCGUGUUGCGCUAU
rnacentral:ncRNA from 1 species